AUGGAUCAGGACAUACGUCUUGUUUUUCCAGAAGUUCGAAAAUGUAUUGCGCGUAUUUCCUUUUGUCGGGAGGGCGAGACAAAGGAGUUGAGGCAUAUGGUAAUUCCUGGAAUCGUCGUUGCAGUUGAUACGGAUGGAUCGGCUACGAUAGUUGCAAACCCUGUGUUUUUUAAGAUGUGCCCUGAAUUCAAAUUGAGUUUUCCAAAUGAUACUGCCGCCGGUUAUGAAAAAGAACGGAAGCUUUUCUCCACUAUGGUGGAUUAUCGCGACAAAUUUUGUACAUUUAAGCUGAAACCGGAAGUAAAUGGAUUUGUGCAACCAGCAAAGAUUGAGACUAAGCCCUUGAAAGCUGCUGAUUAUGCUGAUGCCUUCAUAUUUCCACGGAAAGACUUUAUUACACCAGCUGCUUAUUGCAAAGGGGGUGUCGUGAAUGGAACAGAAGCAAAAACAGAAGUUAUGCUUGAGAGUGCAUCUCAUGAGUAUGCAUAUCUGGGGUCACCAAUAUUCAAUAGGAAUGGUGCCCUCGUUGGAAUUAGUUAUGCUGAUAUUGGUUGUUUGAUCGCGUGGACAACGCAGGAAUUACGUGAUGAUGUGCUUAAACAUCUGAGUGGCAUUUCGUAUGUCUCGGAUGGAAUUCCAGUGGAACAAGCCCCUGUGCAGCAAAAUUAA
rnacentral:rRNA from 1 species